AGUCAAAAAUCUGAACAGCAGCAUUUUGAAUAUGUGGACAGCAAACAGUCACAUACACAUUUUCCAGUGAAAUGAAACUUCGAGUUUCCCAUGAAAACUCUCGCUGAAUAGUGAAUGUUAUCACAGUUUGCGGCCUUGGAGAAGAGAUGGUGAGUUUUAUCAGUGCAGCUGCAA